CUCCAGUCUGGGGUCCGUGGCCACAAGAGCGUCCAGUCUAGAGCUGGAAUGCUGAAUGCUUCCUGCAGGGUCCCCCACCCCCCUAGUUCCCAGACAAGUUCCUGGGACGCUCUUCUCAAACGCGAAUUGUGUUCACCCCCUUCAAACGGGUGAACCCCCUGGUGUGUGGGAAAGAAUGUGGCCUUGCCCAAGGGAGGCGCCCCACGUCGUCCGUGGCAGGCGCGUCUGACGGGGAAAGUCUGCAGUGUGAGCUGGGGCCGGGUCGAGGGUCGCACCGUGUCCCCUGUGUCAGUUUUAUGAGGCUGCGCUGUGUAGUCGGUCCUUUCACCCCCUUAAACAGCUUUUCCAGAGAAAAAGCUCUGCAUUUUGAUGGAGUCCAAUUUAUUGUUUUUUUCCUUUUAUAGAAGAUGCUUUUGGAGCCACGUUUAAGAGUUCUUCACCAAGCCUUAGCUCUUGAGUACUUUUCCUGUGUUUUUCCCAAGUGUCCAGUCCUACAGUCUCAGAGCUUUACAGGCUGUGAUCCAUCUGGAGCUGUUUUGCAUCCCGUGCAAGGUUUAGCUGGUUUUCCCCCCGGGUGACGUGCGGUGAGCUUCGGGCCGUCGUGACUCGGCGUUGUCCACGCUGUGAAACGACCACCACCCUUCGUCACGCGCACUGGCGUUUUUGUGACGAGGAUGUUAAGGUCUGCUCUCCCGGUGGCUCCACACAUGCAGGUUUCCGAACCAGGCACCGGGCCGUGCGUGACCUCCCCAGGACUGACUUCGUAAAGGCCUUCCUGGCCUCCCGGCCCUCCACCCACGCUGCUCGCCACACGCGCUGGCCCUGGUUCCGUGUGCUCUCCGCAUCUGCGGACUUGGGUUUUCACUGUGUGUUCUCCAGAUUCCACACGUUCGGCUCAUGGGCAAAGUCAGGGCAAGUCAGGUGGAACGCACGCUCCCUCACAGGGUGAGAGAUGGGUCAGGGUCAGGCUCAAGGCCAGUUUCAAGGUAAAGACCUGGCCUGAGGUUAAGGAUGAAGUCAACCGAAAGUCAGGACAAGACGUGGGCACAGUGAGUGAGUGACAGUCAUUUCAAGGCCGAGGGUGUCAGGGUCAGCAUCGGCGCAACAGCCCUCGGCUGUUUCUCAAAGGAACCGCUUCUUUGUUGGAACUGAGAUGAACGUAGACACACCACUGUCAGGAGCCGCCUUAGGCAUUACUGACAAAAUAGGGGCACGGCCCUAAACCCCCUCCCUUUGUUCCGUAGGCACGGACCCGGAAUGAAGGAGUUAGGCUUUGUGAUUCUGACUUGUGUUUUCCUUUCCUCAGCUGAGUUGACGGAAGAGAAUAUUAAGGUACUUAUUGUUUUUGAGAGGAGCAGGAGAAGGCAUAAAGCCUUCUGCAGCUGUGCUCAAAGAAUAAUCCAUAAAGUUAAUCACUGACAUCUGUUCAAGGACUUUUACAAAAAAGUGUUCCAGGGUGAGCAUGCAGGCCACAGCUUGAGGCCAUGGGAGGGAUUCUAUCUGAAGCUUAUUUGUGAGAAAAGUGUUUAUGGGAAAGGAGUUUGCUGAAUUUAGGGCUUAGGAAUAAUUAAAGUAGUUAGGAACUAAAGGUUUAAGGAUUGCUGUAAUGUUACAAUAUUCUACUAUAGCUUAUAGAAAUUAGGGACUUCAGAGAUAUUAUUAGCUAGAAGCCCUUUCUAAGAAAUAGUGAGCUUAGGAUGCUAGGGGCAGACAGGACUUAGAA
ensembl:lncRNA